rnacentral:rRNA from 1 species
CAAUAGCGUAUAUUAAAGUUGUUGCGGUUAAAAAGCUCGUAGUUGGAUUUCUGCCGAGGACGUCCGGUCCGCCCUCUGGGUGUGUACAUGGUACGGCCUGGGCAUCUUCUUGGAAAACGUAUCUGCACUUGACUGUGUGGUGCGGUAUCCAGGACUUUUACUUUGAGGAAAUUAGAGUGUUUCAAGCAGGCCUACGCCUUGAAUACAUUAGCAUGGAAUAAUAAGAUAGGACCUCGGUUCUAUUUUGUUGGUUUCUAGAGCUGAGGUAAUGAUUAAUAGGGAUAGUUGGGGGCAUUCGUAUUUAACUGUCAGAGGUGAGAUUCUUGGAUUUGUUAAAGACGGACUACUGCGAAAGCAUUUGCCAAGGAUGUUUUCAUUG